AACAGAUUGGCAGAAAUAAUAUGCGUUUAGUUUAGGGCUGAGUUAUGGGGGUUCUCAUCUGUUU
rnacentral:tRNA from 1 species